CACACCUGGGGCCAGGAUGGUUGUCAGGGAGCACAGAUUUUGGGUUGUUUUCUUCAGCCCAAACCCAGGGAGAGCACCGGGCUAUUGUGUGAGCAAGAAUGGGGUAGCUGUGGGUGUGUCUGCAAGGCGCUUCUAGGACCUGUCUUGGCCCUGGAUGAGGAGAUCACUGACAGGGUCCAGACUCCCUGUGGAGAGCCCAGGGGUCUCUUCUCACAGUUCUACUACCAGAGGCACUGUGUGCUUUAGGGAAAACUGGAAAGUGUUAUUGCCCAACAACAGUGAGGUCUGAUGACCCACACGUGUAGUUUCAGUACAUGGGAGGCUGAGACAGGAGGCGUGCAGUGAGUUCAAGGCCAGCCUGGACAUCUUAUACUGUAAGGCUAUGUCUUAAGAACAAACAGGACAGCCUCCCCAUUCCUCUGGGCAUGGACUUGAAGAGAGAAAUGAUGGAUGACUCUCUCAGCUGAGAUACCAGUGAAGGAUCUGUGUGAGCACCAUGCACAGCCUCGCAGCCACUGGCUCCUAAGUUGACACCAUUUGUUUUUCUUGUUCCAUUGGCAGUUUUUCCAAACCUUUCAGAACUUUCUCAAGGUAAGACCUUUCUCCUGGCAGAACUAACUUCUGUCUGAAGCCUCCCCAAACUUGGUUUGGGGUUUACUCUAACCCCAAGAACUUCCUUUGGUUAUCCUGGGUCCUGAGUUCCGAGUUUAAAUUUUUCCUAGGUUUCAUGGCUUGGACUAGGAUCUGUGGGCCCAGGAAUCAAGGGGUGGAAAAGGAAAUAGUUGCACUCACAAUCACCCCUAGCAACCUAGUAGAGACAUUUUUGCUUCCUGUUCCUGCAGCCUUAAGUUCUGCUGGCCUAGGAGUUUUGGUUCCAGAGGAGGGAGCGCUCUUGCCAGGAGACACACAAAUACUCCAUUGCUCAGACUUCCCCUUGGCCACUUUGGGUUUCUGAUGCCCUGAAGCCCACAGACUAAGAAAGGAUAAGAGUUUUAGGAGGGACGACUGAUCCAGAUUACCAUGGGGACAUUGGAUUGCUUCUCUACAAAGGAGCCAUAGGAUGCGGAAGGAGGAAGCUUGCCCUCUCUGCCUGCUUGCUCUCACUAUCAAUGCCAGUCCAUUCCUUCACUGGCAUUAGAGCCUACUUCUUCAGGAUUCUAGUGUAUACUGAAGACCAGAUGAGAUAUCCAGCCUCAUAUACUGAACAACUAUUGGAUUCUUGGUCCUUCUGUUUGGUAGACCGCUAUUGUUGCAUUAGGUGGGCCACAACCUAUACAGCAUUCUAAUAAAUCUUUUGUGUGUGUGUGUGUCCA